GCAAGUGCACGAAUCGCGUCAAAGUAAUAUAAAAGAAUAUUGAUCCCAUAGAGACCAAAUUGUCAAUCUAUCGAUUACUAUUGUUACGAUGUUUAUCUAAGGCGGUACAAAUGAGAUAUUGAUGUCGCAAAAUAAUAGUAAAUAAAGAAAAUGAUAAAUAUAGUGCAAAUAAAGAUAGGCUUGAAUGUAUUUCACGUCAGUUAAAUGAUGCUUCGAUUGUCUAAAUAGAACUACUUAUGGGGCAAUAUUUUCUACUCUUG
rnacentral:lncRNA from 1 species